CGAAGGGGGCUAGCGUUGUUCGGAAUUACUGGGCGUAAAGCGCGCGUAGGCGGUUUUGCAAGCCAGAGGUGAAAUGCCUGAGCUCAACUUAGGAAUUGCCUUUGGGACUGCGAGGCUUUGAGGACGGGAGAGGUGAGUGGAAUUCCCAGUGUAGAGGUGAAAUUCGUAGAUAUUGGGAAGAACACCGGUGGCGAAGGCGGCUCACUGGCCCGUUUCUGACGCUGCAGCGCGAAAGCGUGGGGAUCAAACAGGAUUAGAUACCCUGGUAGUCCACGCUGUAAACGAUGAGUGCUAGGCGUCGGCAAGCUUGCUUGUCGGUGCCGCAGCCAACGCGUGAAGCACUCCGCCUGGGGAGUACGGUCGCAAGAUUA
rnacentral:rRNA from 1 species